GCAGCUCCAGGGAGCCUCCUCUAACAGGCCUGAGGAUAUUCUAGAUGCCAGAGAUUACGGGAGCCGGGGAAGGAAUCUGAAUGUGGGUUGGCACAGAGGGGAUGGGCCUGGAAAACCUGGACUUAUGCUGUUGUCAGUGGUGGUCACUGAGAGUCAGGAGGUGUGAGUUCCAGUCCCAGCUCAGCUAUUUUACGUGCUGUUGGUGCUGAGGACUCAAAAGUCCAGCACACAGGCAGGGGAUCACCAUGCUGGAGGGAAGGUACUUCCAAGUAAUAAGAGGAAUAAAGUGCGGGGUGAAGGCAACACUGAAAACUUGAAACCCCAGGACCGGAGGAGGGUGAAAUAAAAACCUGUUUGGCAAAGACAGGCUCAAACCCCCAUGAGCUGUCUGGCUGUCUGAGGGCUGGCUGCUGGAAUCUCCCCAAAACCAUCCCUCGGGGCUCCUUUCUGAGCUUCUCCAGAGCAGAAUUGAGGUGUGGAGGAGCAUGACGGCCUCAGGUCAGCACACUGUACCAUGCACACAGGACGUAUGUUUCUUUGGUUUUAUUAUUACAAACACACCAUGGCUCUGUCACAAUAGGGAAAUCUAAGCUCUACAUACC
rnacentral:lncRNA from 10 species